CAGAGCUUAGUGCCUACCUAGCUCAUCCUCCCCAAGUCUGUCAUCUCUUGCCCUUUCUUAGACAUUCUGCUUCACAGACAUUCUCCCCCUCCUGUGGCCUUGGCUUCUAAUUGUCUACUAGCAACCACUCCCUCUGCAGGGAGAUGUCUCUGGUUCCCUAGGGCUCUUCGGAAUGGUUCGGCACUGGGAGAACAUGUUCCCGUGGGUAUAGCGGUUUGAUGAGGCCCAGAUGUCUGCCCAUGUGUUAAAACCACUAAUCCACAGACUAGAGACUUUGGGGAGCUCAAGGGUUCCACUCAAGGCCAAGCAGUGUGAAUCAACCCAGCGUCCUCAAUGCUGUCCUUGUCCCAAAGCUGCAGGGGGACUGGGCCUCUGGACUGUGGUAUCAGACAGCAUGGCUAACCUCUCUGCAUGUCAGGUGUAUAUAUACUCAUUACUCCUUUGCCUAUACCCUCACAGCUACAGCCUUGAGGAAAAAUCGCUCUGAAAUUUGCAGUAGGUUAGGCCUAUGAAUAAUUCAGCAGUGCUCCUGACUGGGAGGAAGGAUUCCCUUUCUGAUGCUUCUUAACUGACAGAAACGGUAGACAGCACGCUGCAGCGUGGUGUCUGCUCAGAUUGGAGACAGUGGAUGGAGGAAGCAGGGAGGAAGAGAAGAUGCAAGUGGGAGCAGGAAGCCAUAUGCCAAGAGAAUACUCAGCAAGUUAGUAGACUUCAGACACCAGCUGCUUUAGGGAGACCCGUGGAGAGGAACCCCACUUUCAGCUCCGUGGAACAUCAUUCUCUCUGCGGAAGAACAGAUGUGAUCACAGUCCACAAGAUCAACCCUGGAACUCGA